ACUCAAAGGAAUUGACGGGGACCCGCACAAGCGGUGGAGCAUGUGGUUUAAUUCGAAGAUACACGAAGAACCUUACCUGGCCUUGAUAUCCUAAGAAUCCUGUAGAGAUACGGGAGUGCUAGUUUACUAGAACUUAGAGACAGGUGCUGCACGGCUGUCGUCAGCUCGUGUCGUGAGAUGUUGGGUUAAGUCCCGCAACGAGCGCAACCCUCGUGAUUAGUUGCUAACAGUUCGGCUGAGCACUCUAAUCAGACUGCCUUCGUAAGGAGGAGGAAGGUGAGGACGACGUCAAGUCAUCAUGGCCCUUAUGGCCAGGGCUACACACGUGCUACAAUGGCUAGGACAAAGAGACGCGAUACUGUGAAGUGGAGCAAAUCUUAAAACCUAGUCUCAGUUCGGAUUGAAGUCUGCAACUCGACUUCAUGAAGCUGGAAUCGCUAGUAAUCGUAGAUCAGAUAUGCUACGGUGAAUACGUUCCCGGGUCUUGUACACACCGCCCGU
rnacentral:rRNA from 1 species